UUUGCAAAUUUCAUAGAUAUUGAUAAUGUGAGAGGCAGUUGGAUAGCUGGCAGCGGGACUAUGGUAUGAGUUGGAAGCAAAAAUCAGUUUCUUUAACCACACAAUCAUACCAACAGUAAAAAAGCCGCUUCUUAAAGUAGCUAAACUGGACGCAGUACAUCUACCUGGAAGUGUAGAAAUGUGGAAUUUGUGCGAGUUUUCCAUAGUACAAAAUCUGCAGGCGGGCCAGCUACUUCACUCAAUGCACCACACAAACCCUCGAAUGUGACGUCGAGCGUUGAGCCAGCGUAGCAGCAAACCACCAUUGUGUGCGUGAUGUAAGUUGCCAGAAAUUUAAGCAAAUUCUAGUAUGUACUUCCUUUUUCGUAUAUUUUUGUAUUUUAUAACAAAGUUCAGCUUUUAGGCUUAUUUCCACUGUAGCAUUGGAAAAUAGUUUUUUUUUUGUUGAGAAUAAUAUUUUGUUGCACUUCUCCUCUAAAAAUUUGUUUUUUUUGCUUUCACUAUCGCCCUUUGCAUAAAUNCUUUCUCCUUUUUCUUCCAACUGCAAACUGAAACAAAUUUUUUUUUUCAACUGUUUUUUUUUUUUGUUUUAUGUUUAUGUUGCUUGUUCGCUGUAAGCCUUAGCCUCUUGCUUUUACUAUUGAUGCGAGCUGCAGCAGCGGCAAUGCAAAAUAAGUGAAGCGUCCACCUGCACUACAAAUCACGCGAGUAGUAAGAUUGCACUUUUUCGCGAAGGGAAAAUAUGCCCAUCCACAAAGAAAGCAGUGUUGCAUCAACAAUGCCACCACGAGCCUGCAAAUCGAUAUCCACGGCGAAAUCGUCAGGUUAUAUGGUCGGUGGAGUAUUUUAAAAUUGCACUAAUGUGACCCUUUUUCGGCUGUGUUACAAAAAUAUAUGUCUACAUACAUAUGUAGGUAUAUGCAUAUAUUAUUUUGUGCCCAGCAGAGAUCUUUAACGUGACCGCCGUUACUUUACUUCAGCGUGUCCCAUUGUCAGUGCCAUACUCAAUACAAACCACCGUUGCAUUUAUCGCGACGUAGAGCGUCCUUUUCUGCUCUUCAUUCCAUUUUUUUUUUUUGUUUUGCGCUAUCUGUUGUUAUCCUUUUCAUAGGGGCCCCGUUUUCGCGAAACGGAAACGAAAAGGUGGAACUCGCGAAGUGG